GAGUACCACACCUUACACACCUUGAAGAACCCUGCAUGAAGAACCCUGCAGAGGUGAUCCCUGGCAGAAGAAAUGGCUUUGCAUAUCUAAGCAAGAAUUCAGGACAUUACCCUGCUAGACAGAGGGGCACAUGGAUCACUGUACAGGCCUCUGAAGCCUUGUUGUGGUUUAACCCCAGCUGGCAAACAGGCACCACACUGCUGCUUGCUCACUUUCCCCCCUGGAAUGGAGAGAAAUGGAAGAGCAAAAGUGAGAAAACUCAUUGUUUGAGGUGUUCAGCCAUCACCAGGAAAGUUGGGCUCCAGCACGCAUAACAGAGGCCCAAUGCUACACACAAAAGGAGUGGCAAGUGAGACAUACCAUAAACAGGCAGAGCAGAAGCAGGAAAUACUGAAUGCCACAGGACUGAAGCUACAAAGACUCUUUUAAAAGAGGAACUGGUUAAAAUAAGGCCAAAUUCUAACUCUCAGCUAUGAAGCAAA